rnacentral:rRNA from 1 species
CGGCGAACGGGUGAGUAAUGCUUCGGAAUCUACCUUAUGGUGGGGAAUAACUAGCCGAAAGGUUAGCUAAUACCGCAUACGUCCUACGGGAGAAAGCAGGGGAUCGUAAGACCUUGCGCCAAAAGAUGAGCCGAAGUCGGAUUAGCUAGUUGGUAGGGUAACGGCCUACCAAGGCGACGAUCCGUAGCUGGUCUGAGAGGACGAUCAGCCACACUGGGACUGAGACACGGCCCAG